AUUGAACGCUGGCGGCAGGCCUAACACAUGCAAGUCGAACGAGUGGCGGACGGGUGAGUAAUGUCUGGGAAACUGCCCGAUGGAGGGGGAUAACUACUGGAAACGGUAGCUAAUACCGCAUACCAUCGGAUGUGCCCAGAUGGGAUUAGCUAGUAGGUGGGGUAACGGCUCACCUAGGCGACGAUCCCUAGCUGGUCUGAGAGGAUGACCAGCCACACUUGGACUGAGACACGGUCUAGACUCCUCCGUGAGGCAGCAGUGGGAAAUAUUGCACAAUGGGCGCAAGUCAGAUGCAGCCAUGCCGCGUGUAUGAAGAUGGCCUUCGGGUUGUAAAGUACUUUCAGCGAGGAGGCGUUACUCGCAGAAGAAGCGCCGGCUGACUCCGUGUCAGCAGCCGCGGUAAUUC
rnacentral:rRNA from 1 species